rnacentral:rRNA from 1 species
UACGUAGGGCGCAAGCGUUGUCCGGAAUUAUUGGGCGUAAAGAGCUCGUAGGCGGCCUGUUGCGUCCGCUGUGAAAUCCCGGGGCUCAACCCCGGGCCUGCAGUGGAUACGGGCAGGCUAGAGUUCGGUAGGGGAGAUCGGAAUUCCUGGUGUAGCGGUGAAAUGCGCAGAUAUCAGGAGGAACACCGGUGGCGAAGGCGGAUCUCUGGGCCGAUACUGACGCUGAGGAGCGAAAGCCAGGGGAGCAAACGGG